CCUACGGGUGGCAGCAGUGGGGAAUAUUGCGCAAUGGGCGAAAGCCUGACGCAGCGACGCCGCGUGAGGGAUGAAGGUCUUCGGAUCGUAAACCUCUGUCAGCAGGGAAGAACGGUCACUGUGCUAAUCAGCAGUGAAUUGACGGUACCUGCAAAGGAAGCACCGGCUAACUCCGUGCCAGCAGCCGCGGUAAUACGGAGGGUGCGAGCGUUAAUCGGAAUUACUGGGCGUAAAGCGCUCGUAGGUGGUAUGUCAAGUCAAGGGUGAAAUCCCCGCGCUCAACGUGGGAACUGCCUUUGAUACUGGCAAACUGGAGUGUGUGAGAGGAUAGUGGAAUUCCAGGUGUAGGAGUGAAAUGCGUAGAUAUCUGGAGGAACAUCAGUGGCGAAGGCGACUAUCUGGCACAUAACUGACGCUGAGGAGCGAAAGCGUGGGUAGCAAACAGGAUUAGAUACCCGAGUAGUC
rnacentral:rRNA from 1 species